UACGUAGGGUGCGAGCGUUGUCCGGAUUUAUUGGGCGUAAAGAGCUCGUAGGCGGCUUGUCGCGUCGACUGUGAAAACCCGAGGCUCAACUUCGGGCUUGCAGUCGAUACGGGCAGGCUAGAGUUCGGUAGGGGGAGACUGGAAUUCCUGGUGUAGGCGGUGAAAUGCGCAGAUAUCUGGAGGAACACCGGUGGCGAAGGCGGCAUCCUGGGACCAAUACUGGACGCUGAGGAGCGAAAGCCAGGGGAGCCAAAGCGGG
rnacentral:rRNA from 1 species